rnacentral:rRNA from 1 species
AUACGGAGGGUGCAAGCGUUAAUCGGAAUUACUGGGCGUAAAGCGCGCGUAGGCGGUUUGAUCAGUCGGAUGUGAAAGCCCUGGGCUCAACCUGGGAACUGCAUUCGAUACUGUCAGACUAGAAUAUGGUAGAGGGUAGUGGAAUUCCUGGUGUAGCGGUGAAAUGCGUAGAUAUCAGGUGGAACAUCAGUGGCGAAGGCGGCUACCUGGACCAAUAUUGACGCUGAGGUGCGAAAGCGUGGGUAGCAAACAGGAUUAGAAACCCUAGUAGUCC